rnacentral:misc_RNA from 1 species
UGUGAUUUGGUUUUAGGUGAUUAGUAAUUAGUCCUGAAUUUGGCCAUUCAUGGCCACAACUCUUUCAUAUAUCGUUGUAGGUAUGUACACUACAAAAUAUAUAGAUAUCAAGCUCCUGCUAUCGGAUCCAAUAAAACACAUCCGUUGCGAUUCUCGUGCGCUGCCACUCGCCGGAACUGAGCCUCUCCGUCGCAGGAAAAUUACGACAAUUAAUCCAGCAAGAAGUUUGUUGUCUGAAAUACCCCUAAUUAUCACAAAUCUUCGGCUUUGCUCAUGACAGAGAGCCGACUCGGUCGAGACUGGAAAGCUGCGCGCCGCCUUUGCUGGUGUGAAGACGGCCGAAUCAAAGCUGAUAAAGCUCUCUUG